rnacentral:tRNA from 1 species
UGUGAUGUCUAAAUGAUUUAAUUUUAGGCCAUAAUCCUGUCACCUUAGGUCGAUCGGUACCUCCAGUUUGAUAAUCAAAGAGGCUAAGUAAUUAGUUUCUUAAAUUUAUUAAAUUCAGUUCCUAAACUUUGUCUAGGUCACCACCCAGCAAGGGUACUCCUGGGCCAUUAGCUCAGGUGGUUAGAGCGCACCCCUGAUAAGGGUGAGGUCCCUGGUUCAAGUCCAGGAUGGCCCAUUCGGUGUUGGGGGUAUAGCUCAGUUGGUAGAGCGCCUGCUUUGCAAGCAGGAUGUCAGCGGUUCGAGUCCGCUUACCUCCACUGAUCCACCUCCUGAUAACGAAGUCGAAGGAGCUUUUGCUUGAUGUGAUUUAGAUAUGUUCUGGCUGGAUGAACCUAGCUUCUUGUCAAAUUCCAAGGAUAUUCUUUGGGUUUUUUGAUAGGACGCUAGGCUCACUGCAAUAAAAUUGCAGAGUUCUUCAGUAGAACCUUGACAACUGCAUAGGUGAGUCUGGAAAAAAUAAAGCAUCCUCAUGGAUGCAUUAUUUUGAACAUGAUUUAAAUCCCUUAUUUUAUUGGGAUUUUAUUUGUGAUUUCAAUAGUAAUGUUUAAUUCUUGGAGCAAGGAGCCGGAGACCUCUAUAAU